rnacentral:rRNA from 1 species
UACGUAGGGGGCAAGCGUUGUCCGGAUUCAUUGGGCGUAAAGAGCGUGUAGGCGGCCAGGUAGGUCGGUUGUGAAAACUGGAGGCUCAACCUUCAGAGGUCGACCGAAACCAUCUGGCUAGAGUCCGGGAGAGGAGAGUGGAAUUCCUGGUGUAGCGGUGAAAUGCGCAGAGAUUUGGAGGAACACCAGUGGCGAAGGCGGCUUCCUGGCCUGUUCUUGACGCUGAGGCGCGAAAGCUAGGGGAGCAAACGGG